GGAAGGAUGGCUGAGUGGUCGAAGGCAACACUGGAAUAAGCCGCUGAAAUGGAAUUAAAUGCCUCGGAUAGGCGGCGAAAAAGCGUAGGACAUCGCGGGUUCAAAUCCCGCUCCUUCCA
rnacentral:tRNA from 2 species